AAGAGUAGGCGCAGCGGUUGCGGAACAGUUCCAAGCAGCUGUUCUGAGGAAAGUCCGGACUCCCGAAAGACCAAACUUGCUGGGUAACGCCCAGUACGAGCGAUCGUGAGGAUAGUGCCACAGAAACAUACCGCCGAUGAAUGAGGAGCGAGGAGUGAGGAGUGAGGAGCGAGGUACAAAUUAAACCCUAGCCCCUAACCCCUAACUCCUAGCCCCUCUUACAGGUAAGGGUGCAAAGGUGCGGUAAGAGCGCACCAGCAGCGUCGAGAGGCGCUGGCUCGGUAAACCCCAGUUGGGAGCAAGGUCGGAGGAACUAUGGUUGGUCUUUUACCAGUUCCGCUAUUGGAGAACCGCUAGAGGCGUCUGGUAACAGGCGUCCCAGAUAGAUAACCGCACUUCACUCACAGCAAUGCUGACGAGUGAACAACAGAAUCCGGCUUAUGUCCUGCUCUUUCCC
rnacentral:RNase_P_RNA from 2 species